GGGCCCGCACAAGCAGUGGAGCAUGUGGUUUAAUUCGACGAUACGCGAAAAACCUUACCAGGGUUUGACAUCCGCAGAAUCCCUCCGAAAAGAAGGAGUGCCCUUCGGGAAUUGCGUGACAGGUGGUGCAUGGCUGUCGUCAGCUCGUGUCGUGAGAUGUUGGGUUAAGUCCCGCAACGAGCGCAACCCACGUCUUUAGUUGCCAGCAUUAGUUGGGCACUCUAGAGAGACCGCCGGUGAUAAACCGGAGAAGGUGUGGAUGACGUCAAGUCAUCAUGCCCCUUACAUCUGGGCUACACACGUACUACAAUGCUACGGACAAAGGGCAGCAAACUCGCGAGAGCUAGCAAAUCCCAUAAACGUGGCUC
rnacentral:rRNA from 1 species